rnacentral:rRNA from 1 species
GUAGGGAAUCUUGCGCAAUGGGCGAAAGCCUGACGCAGCCAUGCCGCGUGAAUGAUGAAGGUCUUAGGAUUGUAAAAUUCUUUCACCGGGGACGAUAAUGACGGUACCCGGAGAAGAAGCUCCGGCUAACUUCGUGCCAGCAGCCGCGGUAAUACGAAGGGGGCUAGCGUUGCUCGGAAUUACUGGGCGUAAAGGGCGCGUAGGCGGACAGCUUAGUCAGAGGUGAAAGCCCAGGGCUCAACCUUGGAAUUGCCUUUGAUACUGGCUGUCUUGAGUUUGGGAGAGGUGAGUGGAACUCCGAGUGUAGAGGUGUAAUUCGUAGAUAUUCGGAAGAACACCAGUGGCGAAGGCGACUCACUGGCCCAAUACUGACGCUGAGGCGCGAAAGCGUGGGGAGCAAACAGGAUUAGAUACCCCAGUAGUCC